CCUACGGGAGGCAGCAGUGAGGAAUAUUGGUCAAUGGGCGCGAGCCUGAACCAGCCAAGUAGCGUGAAGGAUGACUGCCCUACGGGUUGUAAACUUCUUUUAUAAAGGAGUAAAGUGAGGCACGUGUGCCAUAAUGAAUGUACUACAUGAAGAAGGAUCGGCUAACUGCGUGCCAGCAGCCGCGGUAAUACGGAGGAUCCGAGCGUUAUCCGGAUUUAUUGGGUUUAAAGGGAGAGUAGAUGGGUAGUUAAGUCAGUGGUGAAAGUUUGCGGCUCAACCGUAAAAUUGCAAUUGAUACUGGCAGCCUUGAGUACAGUUGAGGUAGGCGGAAUUCGUGGUGUAGCGGUGAAAUGCUUAGAUAUCACGAAGAACUCCGAUUGCGAAGGCAGCUUACUAGACUGCAACUGACGUUGAUGCUCGAAAGUGUGGGUAUCAAACAGGAUUAGAUACCCGAGUAGUC
rnacentral:rRNA from 1 species